UUUUAUGGAGAGUUUGAUCCUGGCUCAGGAUGAACGCUGGCGGCGUGCCUAAUACAUGCAAGUCGAGCGAACGGACGAGAAGCUUGCUUCUCUGAUGUUAGCGGCGGACGGGGGAGUAACACGUGGAUAACCUACCUAUAAGACUGGGAUAACUUCGGGAAACCGGAGCUAAUACCGGAUGAUAUUUUGAACCGCAUGGUUCAAAAGUGAAAGACGGUCUUGCUGUCACUUAUAGAUGGAUCCGCGCUGCAUUAGCUAGUUGGUAAGGUAACGGCUUACCAAGGCAACGAUGCAUAGCCGACCUGAGA
rnacentral:rRNA from 1 species